rnacentral:rRNA from 1 species
GAUGAACGCUGGCGGCGUGCCUAAUACAUGCAAGUCGAGCGAAUGGAUUAAGAGCUUGCUCUUAUGAAGUUAGCGGCGGACGGGUGAGUAACACGUGGGUAACCUGCCCAUAAGACUGGGAUAACUCCGGGAAACCGGGGCUAAUACCGGAUAACAUUUUGAACCGCAUGGUUCGAAAUUGAACGGCGGCUUCGGCUGUCACUUAUGGAUGGACCCGCGUCGCAUUAGCUAGUUGGUGAGGUAACGGCUCACCAAGGCAACGAUGCGUAGCCGACCUGAGAGGGUGGUCGGCCACACUGGGACUGAGACACGGCCCAGACUCCUACGGGAGGCAGCAGUAGGGAAUCUUCCGCAAUGGACGAAAGUCUGACGGAGCAACGCCGCGUGAGUGAUGAAGGCUUUCGGGUCGUAAAACUCUGUUGUUAGGGAAGAACAAGUGCUAGUUGAAUAAGCUGGCACCUUGACGGUACCUAACCAGAAAGCCACGGCUAACUACGUGCCAGCCGCCGCGGUAA